CGGUACCUACGGGGGGCAGCAGUAGGGAAUCUUCCACAAUGGACGAAAGUCUGAUGGAGCAACGCCGCGUGAGUGAAGAAGGGUUUCGGCUCGUAAAACUCUGUUGGUAGUGAAGAAAGAUAGAGGUAGUAACUGGCCUUUAUUUGACGGUAAUUACUUUGAAAGUCACGGCUAACUUCGUGCCAGCAGCCGCGGUAAUACGUAGGUGGCAAGCGUUGUCCGGAUUUAUU
rnacentral:rRNA from 1 species